UACAGAUCAUGAAACAGCCAGACACAGG
rnacentral:sRNA from 1 species